rnacentral:tRNA from 1 species
GCCGAGGUAGCUCAGUGGGUAGAGCACGUGACUGAAAACCGCGGUGUCCCCAGUUCAGGUCUGGGCCUCGGCA